UACGUAGGGUGCAAGCGUUGUCCGGAAUUAUUGGGCGUAAAGAGCUCGUAGGCGGUUUGUCGCGUCUGCUGUGAAAACUCAGGGCUUAACUCUGAGCUUGCAGUGGGUACGGGCAGACUAGAGUGCGGUAGGGGAGACUGGAAUUCCUGGUGUAGCGGUGAAAUGCGCGGAUAUCAGGAGGAACACCGGUGACGAAGGCGGGUCUCUGGGCCGUAACUGACGCUGAGGAGCGAAAGCAUGGGGAGCGAACAGG
rnacentral:rRNA from 1 species